rnacentral:rRNA from 1 species
CAGUCGCCGCGGGAAUACGGAGGGUGCAAGCGUUGUCCGGAUUUAUUGGGUUUAAAGGGUGCGUAGGCGGCCUAAUAAGUCAGUGGUGAAAGCCUCCAGCUUAACUGGAGAACUGCCAUUGAUACUGUUAGGCUUGAGUAUACUUGAGGUAGGCGGAAUUGACAGUGUAGCGGUGAAAUGCAUAGAUAUUGUCAAGAACACCAAUUGCGAAGGCAGCUUACUAAAUUAUAACUGACGCUCAGGUGCGAAAGCGUGGGGAGCAAACAGGAUUAGAUACCCCCGUAGUCCCUGUCUCUUAUAC